ACAGUGAAGAUUUUCACUAAACCAGUAGGUUUUCAAAUUGAAUCAAACAAUAAAAACAGUUUCUGGAUGGAUACAAACGCAUCGACUUCAUAAACAACACCCAUUCAUAAAUAUGAAAAAUGAAGAUCCCGCCUUCAACUUUUUAAAGAUUUCUUGACUUCAACUCCAGGUCCUUUAAAGCCACACAAUUUUCGCUCUCGCAAAAAAAACACACACACACAUUUUUUAAUGAUCGAUAACAAUACUCUCUACUUUUGGCGAACAGUAAAUUGGUUCCACUUUGACAGUUCAAAAUUGAGGCCGUUUUGCGGACCACUAUUCAGCACCCAGAUUAUACCUUUGAUCCCACCUGUACAACAUACACUGGACAAAUAAUAUUACUUUUUAAACGUUUAAAUGAUCUGUGAAACAAAAAUCUUAACUGAAAUUUAAAAAAAAAACCCAGCUUAACUCACUCAAACAGCUCCAGCAAAUUGCAAAUGACAGCGCGUAGCAAUACACGGCAUAAAAUCUGGAUGGUUUUGUAUAAGAAAACUUGCAGAAUUCAAAGUUUUAUCAAUUUCUUUUUGAAAACCACUAGCACUUUAAACUGUUCUGAUCAAGUCUUGAAGGUUUUCAUUAAAAAGUCAGCGAAACACUCUAAAAAACAAAAUGUGUAAAACGCCAUGUUACGAUAUUAUAAAUUGCGAAAAAAAAACAUAAUUAUGUAACUAACAGGAUAUCGAUGCCAAAUAAAAUUACUAUUAAUUUCAUAAAAAUAAUAAUAAGCAACAACUGCACAGGCGCCAUUUCUGCAAUAAACGAAUUGUUCACAAUAAAAAAUUCUGGAAAUAAAUCGGCAAUUCGGUAAAUCGCACACUUUUUUAAACUUUUCGUUAAGAGAUCACUUGUAACUGCACUUAAAAGCUGGAUCAAAACAAUUCGUCUCCUAGCACUCGUUCAACAACUGAAUAAAUUGAAGUAACAGUUCAAAUCCAACAAGAUUGGUCAAAUUCCUUAUGAAGACGAAAAAGGUUUAUUGCAGACUUCGUCAAGAUAUUCAAGCUUCAGGAAAUCUCGAAGUGUAACUAGAAAACUGAAUUAAAACUUCUAAGUAGAAUUCCUAGUCAAGUCUGGAAGAAACCUUGAAAGUAUGUUGAAGGUUACGCUAGAUGAAAACCUGUUGGCUUUGAUAAAAGUUUUUAUAAAACAUUGUUGCAUCCAAUAAAACUGUUUUAAAACCAUAUAAGAAUAU